rnacentral:lncRNA from 1 species
AUGAAUGUUGUUUGAAGAUUGAAGAAAGGUAAGGGAGAUAAAGGUGUAAUGGUUCUGAGAGGGAUAGGGUCAGAGGUUGUGGGUUUUGAUGGGUUUGGUUCAGAAAGGAUUGGUAUAGAAGGUGUUGGUUUAGAUGAGGAAGAGAGUGAGGUUGUUGGUUUUUGAGAUUUUUCUUUGGGAGUUGAAGUGUGGGUGGUAGGUGGACUGGAGGAUGUUGUAACAGUG